AGAUUCCAUGCACCUACUAUUUGUUUCUUUUUUACGUUCUUUGCAAUUGCAACUAUUAUGGGACUUCUACCCUAAACAUAUGAAUCAUUGGCAAAUUUGACAUCCAGGACAAACCUUCCAUUAGAGAAGCAAAGGCGUGGUGAUCUUUACCAGUUGGUAGAUGUACAGAGGUCAAAUUCUCAGUAAUGAUAGUUAUGUGUCAUUAGGAGUGUAAUGAUGACAUGAAAACCUGAUAGUUUUGCUUGAGAACUGAAGUUCUAUGGAGAUGGGGAUCAUAUCUAGAAAAGAUGAUUGCUAAUUCUUCGAUAGUGGCUGUUCUCAGUAAUGCUAGUUAUGUGUCACAAGGAGUGUAGUGAUGACAUGAAAACCUGAUAGUUUUGAUUGCUAAUUCUUCGAUAGUGGCUGAUGUUCAGAGUUCUAGUCAAUCAUCCUUAAUUUAAUCUUCAACUUUGGAUGUGCAACAUAUUCUGAUGCAGAAGGUGGAUGUACUGCUUAUAGGAUAAUGACAUUAUGUGCAAUAAGGGAGACCGAGUGUGCAUGUAUUAUUCUGGUGAUUGUACUGUGUCUGUUUGGAAAUAAUUGUGGCACUGCUCUCGUGUCAAUGAAAUCAACAUCAAGCUCCCUAAAUAAGCUACAUUGAGUCAUUUUAUAAACAGGAAGUCAAGAAGAAAAGGAUACUUGUUCCUGGAUUUGUAUUAGCUAACAAUCUCAAGGAAACAUGUGCUUUUCACGAGAUGUAACUAUUGGAGAUCAUAUAAUUGUUGUUUAGGACAUCAGUGACCCUACUUGCUGGUACAUAGUGACCCUACUUGCUGGUACAUCUCAUCUUGCACCAAUCUAUAAGCUAUCACAGCUUUAGAAAUAUCAACUUUGACCAAACAGAGUGUCAUUUGUUCAUUUAUUUAGAGUUGACGGGGGAAACUGUCUUUGCAAAUGGAUUAGUCCUAAAUAUAUCCAUGAAACAGCUAUCAUUUUCGACUUUGACGUUCUGUACCUUAAUAUUCUACAACCUGGGCUGGUUUCAAAUUAUCUAGGAAAUCCAUCAAGAGUGGACAAUUACUGUGGCCACACACUUGCAUAAACUCUUUUUAGGUAUUUAGUAUUCGAAAUUACUAGAUAGAUUACACUCUUUAUCAAUAUAUUUUUUGUGCUUUUCACCAAAAUCCAUAGACUUCUGUUAUUACUUGUUGCUUUCGCUCGGUUGUCAGAUUGAUUUGUUUGUUAUUGUCCCGGCCCUUUUUCCUUCUUGAACCGAGGGUUUACCCGAAGUAGCAUUUUUGCCUUUUUAAAGACAAGGAUAAGAUAUGCGUAUAUUCUACCCUCCUUAGACAUCACUUGUGAGACUACACUGGAUAUCUUCUUGUUGUUGUUGCUUUUCACCUAAAGAUUUUCAUUUUGCAGAGUCGAACUCGAGACUUAUCAAUUGAAAAUGAAAGGAUAGCAAAUCAAGGACCUCUUGAUGGUGUACUUGCACACACUUGCACAUUCAUUUGGGUGAUUUUGAUGUGAAGGCACGCAGAGGGCACGUGAUGAGAGAGAAAAAAGAAGGGGCUGCAGUGCACGUGGAGCAAAGAGUUUAUCAUAGAAAUAGACAGACAAAAGAAGGAGAAUAUAGAGUGAUCAGUGUGUAAGCUUUUGUCGAGGAAAGAGUAAUUGGUUUCAUAUUUGGAUGAUGAUGACUUCAUCUUCUUCUCCUUGGGAUCUGUAACAACUUCUCUAUCCAACAUUUCACCAUCUAUCUCUUUUUCUUGUUAUCUUCUUUCUUCUUUUCUCAAACUACUUUCUUUAUUCCAAAACUUGUAGAUCCAUUCUAAAAAUAGGGACGGCUCAACUAUAAAAUAGUGGCCUAAAGCCAAUUUAUGAGAACUUUUGUUUUUCUUAUUUUUUGGGAUUCAAAGUUAUUAAUUAAUAUUUUAUAAUCAAAUUCUUUGUGAUAAUUCUUUUUUUUUCUA
rnacentral:lncRNA from 1 species